rnacentral:rRNA from 1 species
UACGUAGGUGGCAAGCGUUAUCCGGAUUUACUGGGUGUAAAGGGAGCGUAGACGGCAUGGCAAGCCAGAUGUGAAAUACCGGGGCUCAACCCCGGGACUGCAUUUGGAACUGUUAAGCUGGAGUGUCGGAGAGGCAGGCGGAAUUCCUAGUGUAGCGGUGAAAUGCGUAGAUAUUAGGAGGAACACCAGUGGCGAAGGCGGCCUGCUGGACGAUAACUGACGUUGAGGCUCGAAAGUGUGGGGAGCAAACAGG